AUUGAACGCUGGCGGCAGGCCUAACACAUGCAAGUCGAACGAGUGGCGGACGGGUGAGUAAUGUCUGGGAAACUGCCUGAUGGAGGGGGAUAACUACUGGAAACGGUAGCUAAUACCGCAUACCAUCAGAUGUGCCCAGAUGGGAUUAGCUUGUUGGGGGGGUAACGGCUCACCAAGGCGACGAUCCAUAGCUGGUCUGAGAGGAUGACCGGCCACACGGGAAGUGAGACACGGUCCAGACUCAUACGGGAGGCAGCAGGGGGGAAUAUUGCAAAAUGGGCGCAAGCCGGAUGCAGCCAGGCCGCGUGUAUGGAGGAGGCCUUCGGGUUGUAAAGUACUUUCAGCGGGGAGGCGUUACCAGCAGAAGAAGCACCGGCUAACUCCGGGCCAGCAGCCGCGGUAAUU
rnacentral:rRNA from 1 species